ensembl:lncRNA
CUUACUCUAUGUGUCACAUGGUGAAAUGGCAUACCCUUGACAGAUGUCAGUGUAGGGUCUUCUUAACUACUUAUCCUCUCUGAAUGGCAUGCAAACAAUGAGUUUCAAUCUAGCUGAUUGUUAUGCCUGAAUUGAGCAGAGAAAACUCCAGGCCCAUGUCAUAGCUAAACGAUGUAAAUAUGGUCUGAACUGAAGAGAUAUGCUCACAUCCGCCAUCUCUUGGCAAAAUGGAAUAUCUGAAUUUUGAGUAUACUGAAUUCAAUUCAGCAGAUGUAUCUCCCUGCUUUGCCAUGCAGCCUGCUGUCCUAGACACUUCAAGGGCUUAGAAAAUGAGUCCACAUUCUCUGUCUGUAAACAGACGUUUGUGACAUCACAGAUGUUACAUGCUCACAGCAGCUUGCCCGUUUUCUGGCUUGAACUUUUUUCACGUCAAAAAGACCAAUGCCUGGCCUUUUCUAGACAGAUAAACAACUCUGUACCUGGAACAAAAAGACAAACCUACCAGCUCCGUAGUUGCCUAACACUCCUCAGUGAGGAACCAAGUGGGCCCUGCCUGGAUGCUAAUGGCAAGUUUGGCUCUUGGGAGCUGAAACUAAAAGGGACAAUGUAUUGUGCUCAGAGGUACUAUACACAGGAGGAGCCUGAAGCUGACUAUGAGCCAAGUCUGUAGAGAGUACCCAAAGUCAAAGAUUCCUUUAAGUCUCCCAGUCUUCAAAACCAAAGGUGAAGCGUGGAACUGGAUCCGGAUGACAAAGCAGAAAGGCUAAAAGUGAAGCUGGCAGAAGCUUAUUGACUUGUCCAAGUCAUAAGCUACUGGUAUCCAUUGCUGAAGAAAAAUUAUUCUGACUCUUGUUUAAAAUGGCAAGGAAGAGUUUAUGCAGGACUCUUGCAAGAGGGAGAAAGAUUGAGCUCAACGCUGAAUACAGCAAAGACAGAAAUUUACAGCCAGAGUGAGAGGAUCAGUAGAUGGAAAAUUCCUAAGAGGAGGUAUCAAGGGUAGGGGAAUUCUUGCUAAACUGGCUUAGCAGGAAUUUUGCUAAAGAAAGGUCAAGGUGGAGGCCUACUCAAGAAGAAGUUCGGAAAAGCCUGACUAAAGUUUGGUCGAAGGAGUCUUCAUCAUUGAGGGCUCUGUUUUCUAUUUUGUUUUGCUUUUUUCUUCCAACCAGUAUCUUCUUCCCCUAAGAGUUUGUACUGGUUAAUUGACAAAACCAGUCUUUGGUAGGGAGAGAAAAAAUAGUAAGAUAUGGCAGAGUUUAAAAUAGUUUCAUGGACUUAAGAAGAUUUUCUAACAAUUAAAACUGACAAGAAAAAUGUUUUCUGACUUCUAAAAUAUUUAUAAGAAAACAAAAGCAUCCUUCCCAUGAAAUGGUUAAAAAGACGUUUUUGAAAUGAUUGUCCUUACAAAUCUGUCAGAAAAUUAUACAAGUUUUGACCUCCGUCCAUCCACUUCCUACUCAAACAAAAAACAUGAAAUGAUGCCUCUGCUAAAAAUGGUCAAGCUUUGCUUUCAUCUCUCCUCUCUCAAAUUUAAAAACAAAUUCCAAGAGGCUGAAGAAAACAUAUUAUUUUGAAAGUGUAGUUCAUUUCUCAAAGAUGUUAUUAUUUCCCUCAACAUACAGUAUGAGGUUUCGUGGGGUAGUCCAUGUAAUUUUUACAGCUAAGCAUAUGGUCUGAGGACAAAACAGUCAUGGUCCAUAGAAAGCCUGGAGACUUAACUCACAGCAUCCACUGCUUCACUGAAGAGCGCUGACAUUGAUUUCCUUAUAUAUCUGGGAAAGUUUAUGAAAGAGUCUCUAUGAUUUAAGUAUCUUGGGGCUCUAUUCUUCACAGGAACCACGUGAAAAGAAGUAACCGCUCCCUGGCGCAGACACACCUGGUGGGAUGAGAUGGGACGGUGCCUUCCUUAUCUACUCACUUGGUAGAGCUAGUUCACCCUCUGCCCCUGGAUGGAAACAGAAAUGUUUGGUCAUUACAGUUACUGUUAGUCAUUAAAUAGUCUCACUUCAGUUAAAAUGGUCAGUUUCGGAUAGUAACCAAAAUUCAAACCAUGAUUAAAAGUUG